AUUGAACGCUGGCGGCAGGCCUAACACAUGCAAGUCGAACGAGUGGCGGACGGGUGAGUAAUAUCUGUGAAACUGCCUGAUGGAGGGGGAUAACUACUGGAAACGGUAGCUAAUACCGCACACCCUCUGAUGUGCCCAGAUGGGAUUAGCUAGUGGGUGGGGUAACGGCUCACCUAGGCGACGAUCCCUAGCUGGUCUGAGAGGAUGACCCGCCACACUGGAACUGAGACACGGUCCAGACUCCUACGGGAGGCAGCAGUGGGGAAUAUUGCACAAUGGGCGCAAGCCUGAUGCAGCCAUGCCGCGUGUAUGAAGAAGGCCUUCGGGUUGUAAAGUACUUUCAGCGGGGAGGCGUUACCCGCAGAAGAAGCACCGGCUAACUCCGUGCCAGCAGCCGCGGUAAUUC
rnacentral:rRNA from 1 species